rnacentral:rRNA from 1 species
GGCGGCGUGCCUAAUACAUGCAAGUCGAACGAGUUCUGAUUAUUGAAAGGUGCUUGCAUCUUGAUUUAAUUUUGAACGAGUGGCGGACGGGUGAGUAACACGUGGGUAACCUGCCCUUAAGUGGGGGAUAACAUUUGGAAACAGAUGCUAAUACCGCAUAAAUCCAAGAACCGCAUGGUUCUUGGCUGAAAGAUGGCGUAAGCUAUCGCUUUUGGAUGGACCCGCGGCGUAUUAGCUAGUUGGUGAGGUAACGGCUCACCAAGGCAAUGAUACGUAGCCGAACUGAGAGGUUGAUCGGCCACAUUGGGACUGAGACACGGCCCAAACUCCUACGGGAGGCAGCAGUAGGGAAUCUUCCACAAUGGACGCAAGUCUGAUGGAGCAACGCCGCGUGAGUGAAGAAGGCUUUCGGGUCGUAAAACUCUGUUGUUGGAGAAGAAUGGUCGGCAGAGUAACUGUUGUCGGCGUGACGGUAUCCAACCAGAAAGCCACGGCUAACUACGUGCCAGCAGCCGCGGUAAUACGUAGGUGGCAAGCGUUAUCCGGAUUUAUUGGGCGUAAAGCGAGCGCAGGCGGUUUUUUAAGUCUGAUGUGAAAGCCCUCGGCUUAACCGAGGAAGUGCAUCGGAAACUGGGAAACUUGAGUGCAGAAGAGGACAGUGGAACUCCAUGUGUAGCGGUGAAAUGCGUAGAUAUAUGGAAGAACACCAGUGGCGAAGGCGGCUGUCUGGUCUGUAACUGACGCUGAGGCUCGAAAGCAUGGGUAGCGAACAGGAUUAGAUACCCUGGUAGUCCAUGCCGUAAACGAUGAAUGCUAGGUGUUGGAGGGUUUCCGCCCUUCAGUGCCGCAGCUAACGCAUUAAGCAUUCCGCCUGGGGAGUACGACCGCAAGGUUGAAACUCAAAGGAAUUGACGGGGGCCCGCACAAGCGGUGGAGCAUGUGGUUUAAUUCGAAGCAACGCGAAGAACCUUACCAGGUCUUGACAUCUUUUGAUCACCUGAGAGAUCAGGUUUCCCCUUCGGGGGCAAAAUGACAGGUGGUGCAUGGUUGUCGUCAGCUCGUGUCGUGAGAUGUUGGGUUAAGUCCCGCAACGAGCGCAACCCUUAUGACUAGUUGCCAGCAUUUAGUUGGGCACUCUAGUAAGACUGCCGGUGACAAACCGGAGGAAGGUGGGGAUGACGUCAAAUCAUCAUGCCCCUUAUGACCUGGGCUACACACGUGCUACAAUGGAUGGUACAACGAGUUGCGAGACCGCGAGGUCAAGCUAAUCUCUUAAAGCCAUUCUCAGUUCGGACUGUAGGCUGCAACUCGCCUACACGAAGUCGGAAUCGCUAGUAAUCGCGGAUCAGCACGCCGCGGUGAAUACGUUCCCGGGCCUUGUACACACCGCCCGUCACACCAUGAGAGUUUGUAACACCCGAAGCCGGUGGCGUAACCCUUUUAGGGAGCGAGCCGUCUAAGGUGGGACAAAUGAUUAGGGUGAAGUCAUAACA